GCGGCGGUUACAUUGGGGUGGGGCUUGGGUGACAACCAUAGGCAGGGAGCGCCUGGAGGAGAAAGCAGUGGCCACUGGAGGCUGGGGAGGUGACCGAGGGGUCCAGGUGGCAGGAGGGCCAGGACUUUGAGGCCCUUGGAGGGCGCACUCUAGAAUCCUUGGCGAGUGAAAGGAUGCGUUAGAAUCAGAGCAUUUAGAAACAAAUGAGCCUUUAAGAGACUUGAGCUCAAGAGGAAAAUUUCUUGAUUUGGAUCAAAGCGGUUCCGAGGAAUCAGAGAUUAGUUUCCCUGAAACACACCCCUCAAGCGAGCUUGGGGAGAAAAUCGACCAGAUGCCUUAGGAUGAACUGGGAUGGGAAAGGAGAGAGGAAAAAAGAUGAUCAGACUUAAGUGAGCAAGGAGAGGAAGAAUUCCAGUCCAAAGCAGAGAUCCCGGAGAAAUCACUGGUGUCUACCAGUGAGGACAUAUUGUUUCGAAAGGAUGACCGCACCAACGUGUAUCCUUUGAUGGCUUGAUACCUCUUCACAAGCUCCUAAAACCAUUGCGGGCUCCUAAAACUGCACGUUCGGAGAUGGACCAGAUAGCAAAAGGGGCUUCAACAAGUGUGUUCCUGCCUCUCUCUCUGCCUGCAGCAUCCCCCUUUCCCUUUGGAGUCCCCUGCCUUACCCCAGAGGCCUGGAAUAAUUCAGAGUGCUCCUGGGUUCACAAUUGGGGGUGUGACAUUCUCUGGGCUUUGGCUAAGACCAUGACUUGGUCUUUCAGAUAGAACAGUUCUCUUCUUGUUUACUACAUUUGAGAUGAAAACCAGCGAGUUCUUCUGUACAUCUGUGCUGACACUGCGUUCAUCUACGAUGUCUUCAAGAAUACUCAGCACCAUCUUCAGGGCCACACUAAUGUGAUCUCCUGCCUCUGCAUCGGGGAAGACAGGCAGUGGAUUGCCACGGC